UUUACGGAGAGUUUGAUCCUGGCUCAGGACGAACGUUGGCGGCGCGCAUAAUGCAUGCAAGUCGAACGAAGUCCCACCCUUCGGGGUGACGACUUAGUGGCAGACGGCUGAGUAACACGUGAGUGAUCUGCCUUUGGGUGAGGGACAACAGAGGGAAACUUCUGCUAAUACCUCAUACGAUCCAUGAUCUAAGGUCUUGGAUGAAAGGUGCCGGGUAACUGGUUGCCGCCCUUAGAUGAGCUCGCGGCCUAUCAGGUUGUUGGUGGGGUAAUGGCCUACCAAGCCUAAGACGGGUAGCUGGUGUGAGAGCACGACCAGUCAGAGGGGGACUGAGACACGGCCCCCACUCCUACGGGAGGCAGCAGCAGGGAAUCUUCCACAAUGGGCGAAAGCCUGAUGGAGCGA
rnacentral:rRNA from 1 species